CUACGUGCCAGCAGCCGCGGUAAUACGUAGGUGGCGAGCGUUGUCCGGAAUUAUUGGGCGUAAAGGGAGCGCAGGCGGGCGAGUAAGUCUUUCUUAAAAGUGCGGGGCUCAACCCCGUGAGGGGAGAGAAACUACUCAUCUUGAGUGCAGGAGAGGAAAGCGGAAUUCCUAGUGUAGCGGUGAAAUGCGUAGAUAUUAGGAAGAACACCAGUGGCGAAGGCGGCUUUCUGGACUGUAACUGACGCUGAGGCUCGAAAGCCAGGGGAGCGAACGGGAUUAGAUACCCCGGUAGUCCUGGCCGUAAACGAUGAAUGCUAGGUGUAGGGGGUAUCGACCCCUCCUGUGCCGGAGUUAACGCAAUAAGCAUUCCGCCUGGGGAGUACGGUCGCAAGACUGAAACUCAAAGGAAUUGACGGGGGCCCGCACAAGCGGUGGAGUAUGUGGUUUAAUUCGACGCAACGCGAAGAACCUUACCAGGGCUUGACAU
rnacentral:rRNA from 1 species